rfam:Candidatus Raymondbacteria bacterium RIFOXYD12_FTLL_49_13 rifoxyd3_full_scaffold_224, whole genome shotgun sequence.
UCCGGUGUUCCGUCACCGCGUGCUUACGAGAACAUGGUCUCAGCGGUCCUGCCAUUGAGGGUAUGAAGCUCCCCGGACACUGCGCCGUAGUUCCAUGAGAACGGAACGGAAAGUGAACCGCGAGGAACGUUUCCCUCUGGGAAUUCCACCCGGACAAGGCG